GGAACCCGGGAGAUUUUUGAAGUUGGGCGAGCCCAUCGGAAAGGGAAGAUUUGGACCAAUUCAUUUGGGAUGGCACUGUGAGAAACAAAUGGAGGUGGCCAUCAAUAUUAUACCCAACAGGGAGAAUGAAAAAUACCUCAAUGAUGAACUGGAAAUUCUCCCAAAGCUUUCAGGCCACCGAAACAUCAUCAACUUUUAUGGGGCCUACUAUCAUAACACAAAGAACAAGUCAAAAACCCAAGGUUUAUGGGUAAGGAAAUGUUUAUUCAGAUAGGUAAAACUUUAUGGACCAAAUUGGCCAAUCAAGAGAAUUAAUAUAAACUUGUAUUUUACAUGGAAAUAGGAUUAGUUUGGUAAAAAUGCACAUCACCAUAAAACAGGCCAGUUACAUGUCAUAUAUUGUAUAACUGUAGCA